UACAGAGGGGGCAAGCGUUUGUUCGGAAUUACUGGGCGUAAAGGGCGCGUAGGCGGUCUGUUAAGUCGAACGUGAAAUCCCCGGGCUCAACCCGGGAACUGCGUCCGAUACUGGCAGGCUUGAAUCCGGGAGAGGGAUGCGGAAUUCCAGGUGUAGCGGUGAAAUGCGUAGAUAUCUGGAGGAACACCGGUGGCGAAGGCGGCAUCCUGGACCGGCAUUGACGCUGAGGCGCGAAAGCCAGGGGAGCAAAGCGGG
rnacentral:rRNA from 1 species